ensembl:rRNA 5S_rRNA 5S ribosomal RNA
GGCAGCAGCCAUAUCAUCCCUGCAGCUCUCAACUGGUUACCCACUGCAGCUAAGCAGGGUUGAGCCUGGUCAGUACCUGGAUGGGAGACCUCCUGGGAAGCUAUGGUUGCUGCUGGAA